AUUUUCUGCCCAGUGUUAAAAAUAAUUAAUAAAUGGCCGCAGUACCUUGACUGUGCUAAGGUAGCAUAAUCAAUUGGCUUUUAAUUAAGGUCUAGAAUGAAUGGGAUAAUGAAGUUAAUCUGUCUUAAUAACUUUUACUAAAAUUUAUUUAGAAGGUGAAAAUACCUUUCUAAAGAAUAAAGAGCAGAAGACCCUUAGAAUUUUUACUAACUUUUUGUUGGGGCGACAAUUUAAAAUUUGAUCUUAAAUUAUUACUAUAUAACGAUUUUUUUAAUAAAAAUUAAAUUACCUUAGGGAUAACAGCAUAAUUAUUAAAAUA
rnacentral:rRNA from 1 species